GGUAGUGGUUGCUGAAUGGUUAGGGCUCUGGGUUACUGAUCAGAUGGUCAGGGGUUCAAGCCCCAGCACUACCA